UGCCUAUACAUGCAGUCGAACGAACUCUGGUAUUGAUUGGUGCUUGCAUCAUGAUUUACAUUUGAGUGAGUGGCGAACUGGUGAGUAACACGUGGGAAACCUGCCCAGAAGCGGGGGAUAACACCUGGAAACAGAUGCUAAUACCGCAUAACAACUUGGACCGCAUGGUCCGAGUUUGAAAGAUGGCUUCGGCUAUCACUUUUGGAUGGUCCCGCGGCGUAUUAGCUAGAUGGUGAGGUAACGGCUCACCAUGGCAAUGAUACGUAGCCGACCUGAGAGGGUAAUCGGCCACAUUGGGACUGAGACACGGCCCAAACUCCUACGGGAGGCAGCAGUAGGGAAUCUUCCACAAUGGACGAAAGUCUGAUGGAGCAACGCCGCGUGAGUGAAGAAGGGUUUCGGCUCGUAAAACUCUGUUGUUAAAGAAGAACAUAUCUGAGAGUAACUGUUCAGGUAUUGACGGUAUUUAACCAGAAAGCCACGGCUAACUACGUGCCAGCAGCCGCGGUAAUACGUAGGUGGCAAGCGUUGUCCGGAUUUAUUGGGCGUAAAGCGAGCGCAGGCGGUUUUUUAAGUCUGAUGUGAAAGCCUUCGGCUCAACCGAAGAAGUGCAUCGGAAACUGGGAAACUUGAGUGCAGAAGAGGACAGUGGAACUCCAUGUGUAGCGGUGAAAUGCGUAGAUAUAUGGAAGAACACCAGUGGCGAAGGCGGCUGUCUGGUCUGUAACUGACGCUGAGGCUCGAAAGUAUGGGUAGCAAACAGGAUUAGAUACCCUGGUAGUCCAUACCGUAAACGAUGAAUGCUAAGUGUUGGAGGGUUUCCGCCCUUCAGUGCUGCAGCUAACGCAUUAAGCAUUCCGCCUGGGGAGUACGGCCGCAAGGCUGAAACUCAAAGGAAUUGACGGGGGCCCGCACAAGCGGUGGAGCAUGUGGUUUAAUUCGAAGCUACGCGAAGAACCUUACCAGGUCUUGACAUACUAUGCAAAUCUAAGAGAUUAGACGUUCCCUUCGGGGACAUGGAUACAGGUGGGUGCAUGGUUGUCGUCAGCUCGUGUCGUGAGAUGUUGGGGUUAAGUCCCGCAACGAGCGCAACCCUUAUUAUCAGUUGCCAGCAUUAAGUUGGGCACUCUGGUGAGACUGCCGUGAAAACCCGAGGAAAAGGGGGGGGAAGAACGUCAAAACUUCAUGGCCCCUUAUAACCUGGGGUAACCCCGGCUACAA
rnacentral:rRNA from 2 species